rnacentral:lncRNA from 1 species
GGAUGUGUUCAAAUGAUGGCCAUUACACUUAAUUGGAGUUUCAAUUUGGCGGUUCUAGCACAAAACCUAGCAGAACUGUUGUGAGACCAAGAAGGCCUUUUGCUUGCACUAUCAUUCAGUGUGUUCAAAUGCCUAAUAACGGACUUUUCCCCUUGUAGAACUUUCCAUAACUAUUGUAAGACCAAGAAGGCCUAUUUAUUCAGCUUUCAUCUAGUCAGUUCAAAAAGUAGCAACGGAUGUUCCUUCUUCCUUAGUAAAGAUAUCUUGGGCAAUGACAACGUACUAAUCACAAAUGCAACAAUUUGUGUUAGAACAUAGAUAAACCUGACCAUUCUUAUUACCAGCAC